rnacentral:rRNA from 1 species
GGCUCAGUAACACGUGGAUAAUCUACCCUGCGGAGGGGGAUAACCCCGGGAAACUGGGGAUAAUACCCCAUAGACUAUGGAUGCUGGAAUGCUCUGUAGCCGAAAGGUCCGCCGCCGCAGGAUGAGUCUGCGGCCGAUUAGGUUGUUGUUGGGGUAACGGCCCAACAAGCCUGUAAUCGGUACGGGUUGUGGGAGCAAGAGCCCGGAGAUGGAUUCUGAGACACGAAUCCAGGCCCUACGGGGCGCAGCAGGCGCGAAAACUUUGCAAUGCGGGAAACCGUGACAAGGGAACUCCGAGUGCCCGUAAAUUCGGGCUGUCCGCCAGUUUAAAUCACUGGUGAAGAAAGGGCCGGGCAAGACCGGUGCCAGCCGCCGCGGUAAUACCGGCGGCUCGAGUGGUGGCCACUAUUACUGGGCUUAAAGCGUUCGUAGCUGGUCUGUUAAGUCUCUGGGGAAAUCUUCCGGCUUAACCGGAAGGCGUCUCAGGGAUACUGGCAGACUAGGGACCGGGAGAGGUGAGGGGUACUCCAGGGGUAGGAGUGAAAUCCUGUAAUCCUUGGGGGACCACCUGUGGCGAAGGCGCCUCACCAGAACGGCUCCGACAGUGAGGAACGAAAGCUGGGGGAGCAAACCGGAUUAGAUACCCGGGUAGUCCCAGCUGUAAACGAUGCGCGUUAGGUGUAUCGGUGACCACGAGUCACCGAGGUGCCGAAGAGGAAUCGUGAAACGUGCCGCCUGGGAAGUACGGUCGCAAGGCUGAAACUCAAAGGAAUUGACGG